rnacentral:rRNA from 1 species
AGAACGAACGCUGGCGGCAUGCCUAAUACAUGCAAGUCGAACGAACUCUUCGGAGUUAGUGGCGCACGGGUGCGUAACGCGUGGGAAUCUGCCCCUUGGUUCGGAAUAACAGUUGGAAACGACUGCUAAUACCGGAUGAUGACGAAAGUCCAAAGAUUUAUCGCCAAGGGAUGAGCCCGCGUAGGAUUAGCUAGUUGGUGAGGUAAAGGCUCACCAAGGCAACGAUCCUUAGCUGGUCUGAGAGGAUGAUCAGCCACACUGGGACUGAGACACGGCCCAGACUCCUACGGGAGGCAGCAGUAGGGAAUAUUGGACAAUGGGCGAAAGCCUGAUCCAGCAAUGCCGCGUGAGUGAUGAAGGCCUUAGGGUUGUAAAGCUCUUUUACCCGAGAUGAUAAUGACAGUAUCGGAGAAUAAGCCCCGGACUAACUCCGCGACCAGCAGCCGC